rnacentral:ncRNA from 2 species
UCCAAUAAUAUUUUAGAUGGUUUCGAGCCGCUGAGUAUGCGUCUGGAAUGAAAAGGGAAUACGGUGAGGAGGAGCGAAUACGCGCCGAAUCCGUAACUGCCCCCGCAACUGUGAGCGGUGAGUGACCCCGAUGAACACCACUGAGCCUGUCGGGCUUGGGAAGGUUCGGGGAAGCGCUGAUCCGCAAGUCAGGAGACCUGCCAUCAUCGCGACGCCUUC